rnacentral:rRNA from 1 species
UACAGAGGGGGCAAGCGUUAUUCGGAAUUAUUGGGCGUAAAGGGCGCGUAGGCGGCCUGGCAAGUGGAAGGUGAAAUCCCUCGGCUUAACCGAGGAACUGCCCUCCAAACUGCUUGGCUUGAGUCCGGGAGAGGUGAGUGGAAUUCCUGGUGUAGCGGUGAAAUGCGCAGAUAUCAGGAGGAACACCAAUGGCGAAGGCAGCUCGCUGGGACGGUACUGACGCUGAGGCGCGAAAGCGUGGGGAGCAAACAGG